AAAACUCCUACGGGAGGCAGCAGUGGGGAAUAUUGCACAAUGGGGGAAACCCUGAUGCAGGCGACGCCGCGUGGAGGAAGAAGGUCUUCGGAUUGUAAACUCCUGUUGUUGAGGAAGAUAAUGACGGUACUCAACAAGGAAGUGACGGCUAACUACGUGC
rnacentral:rRNA from 1 species